rnacentral:rRNA from 1 species
CCCUUAGAUGUUCUGGGUCGCACGCGUGCUACACUGAUGCAUUCAACGAGUCUAAAACCUGGUCUGAUAGGGCUGGGUAAUCUUUUGAAAGUGCAUCGUGAUUGGGAUAGAUGAUUGCAAUUCUUCAUCUUCAACGAGGAAUGCCUAGUAAACGCAAGUCAUCAGCUUGCAUUGAUUACGUCCCUGCCCUUUGUACACACCGCCCGUCGCUCCUACCGAUUGAAUGAUCCGAUGAAUACCAUGGAUUGAGAGUACGAAUAGGUUCGCUUAUUUCUGCUGCUCGAGAAGUGGAGUAAAUCUUAUCAUUUAGAGGAAGGAGAAGUCGUAACA